UACGGGGGGGGCAAGCGUUGUUCGGAAUUACUGGGCGUAAAGGGCUCGUAGGCGGCCAACUAAGUCAGACGUGAAAUCCCCAGGCUCAACCUGGGAACUGCGUUUGAUACUGGAUGGCUUGAAUCCGGGAGAGGGAUGCAGAAUUCCAGGUGUAGCGGUGAAAUGCGUAGAUAUCUGGAGGAAUACCGGUGGCGAAGGCGGCAUCCUGGACCGGCAUUGACGCUGAGGAGCGAAAGCCAGGGGAGCAAACGGG
rnacentral:rRNA from 1 species